rnacentral:rRNA from 1 species
AGUGAACGCUGGCGGUAGGCCUAACACAUGCAAGUCGAACGGCAGCACAGUAAGAGCUUGCUCUUACGGGUGGCGAGUGGCGGACGGGUGAGGAAUACAUCGGAAUCUACUUUUUCGUGGGGGAUAACGUAGGGAAACUUACGCUAAUACCGCAUACGACCUACGGGUGAAAGCAGGGGAUCUUCGGACCUUGCGCGAUUGAAUGAGCCGAUGUCGGAUUAGCUAGUUGGCGGGGUAAAGGCCCACCAAGGCGACGAUCCGUAGCUGGUCUGAGAGGAUGAUCAGCCACACUGGAACUGGGACACGGUCAAGACUCCUACGGGAGGCAGCAGUGGGGAAUAUUGGACAAUGGGCGAAAGCCUGAUCCAGCCAGACCGCGUGGGUGAAGAAGGCCUUCGGGUUGUAAAGCCCUUUUGUUGGGAAAGAAAAGCAGCAGGUUAAUACCCCGCUGUUCUGACGGUACCCAAAGAAUAAGCACCGGCUAACUUCGUG